AUGGUUGUGGUGGAGGAAGACGAAGAAGAGAAGAGUGGUGGUGAGCAGAGGAAGAGCGUUGCUUUGGGAUCAGGGAGGGAGAAGGGGGCAGUAAAUGGGGAUGGCGACGGUGAUGGCAUCCUCUCCCUUGUCCUCACCCUUCUGGGACUGCCAUUUCUGGCGUGGCCAACUGACGCCACUCCAUUAUUGCGCCCCCUACCUCGCCAUCUCCCUCACCCUCAGCUUGGAGCCAGCAAACACACAAACGCAAAACAGAGCGACCCAGAGAAAUACGCACGCACACGCAGCCAUGAGUGCCUCGCUUGGUGGUAG
rnacentral:rRNA from 1 species